rnacentral:rRNA from 1 species
AACGCGAAGAACCUUACCCAGACUUGAAAUACAGGAGACGUCAGCAGAGAUGCUGAUUCCCGCAAGGGCUGCUGUACAGGUGCUGCAUGGCUGUCGUCAGCUCGUGCCGUGAGGUGUUGGGUUAAGUCCCGCAACGAGCGCAACCCUUAUCAUUAGUUGCCAACGCGUCAAGGCGGGGACUCUAGUGAGACUGCCCGGGUUAACCGGGAGGAAGGUGAGGAUGACGUCAAGUCAGCAUGGCCUUUAUGUCUGGGGCUACACACGUGCUACAAUGGUCGGUACAGAAGGCAGCAAAAUCGCAAGAUGAAGCAAAUCCUAGAAAGCCGGCCUCAGUUCAGAUUGUAGUCUGCAACUCGACUACAUGAAGUUGGAAUUGCUAGUAAUGGUGAGUCAGCUACAUCACCGUGAAUACGUUCCCGGGCCUUGUACACACCGAGACGAC